UCAGCGACAGCGAUGGAACGCCGAUCCUGGUCCAGGCCCUGUGGGACGCCGCGGUCCGCCAGCUGGCUCCUCCUCCUCCUCCUCCUUCGGUGCCCCCCCGGACAUCGCCUCGUGCCAGGGUCUCCCCCGUGCUGGUCGUGACUGGACACAGCCCCGCGCCCCGUCACCGCGACCCACUGGAGUGGACCGUAGUCGGACAGGAGGGCAAGGUUCGAGCAUCUCCGGUGCAAGAGUCUGUCCUCCCGUCCAACCCCGUGUGGUUCAGCGGCGACAUGUUGGAGGCCAUGGAGACGGUUUGUCCUUCUUCAGACGACGACGACACUGCCAUUCCACCAGCUGGCCAGGUAAACUGCCUGAAAAUUAUAUGUACAUGAUAGUAAGAAGUAAACCGGAAUCCAUAUUAGAUCUGACUUUGUGUGAGUGUGUGUGAAUGGUUGAUGUGAGUUUUUCCGAGUGCGUGCUCUGUCUUUUAUUGAGCCAGGUCAUCAUGGUGUUGGUGGUUGUGUGGCUCAGGUCCCAGGCUGCUCCAGUACAUCUGGCUCCCCUCGGCAUCCUCAUUCUUCAUCCGCCAACUGUUUUUACAUUUUUUCCUUUAUUGUAUACAUAGAUCUUUGUUAUUUUGGUUUCUGUGCUUACAACAUCCAUUGCAUGUCUGUCCGUCCUGGAUAAAAUUGAAUUGAAGACGGCAUUUAACAAGGUUUGCUUUCCUUCUUUUAGACUUCCCGUGUGAGGCGUUCGCCAAGAGGUGUUGCCACAAGGCGCAGAGGAGGAAAGCGGCAGGUGCCGGCAACACCUUCACCUGCCCGUGUCACCGUGUCCGCCUCCAGGCCCAGACCAGCGGUGCAGCAGGUGGAGGCAACAGCCCAGGAGUCGCCCAGCGUGGUGCCAGGGGUGGUCGUCGGUCGGGAGGAGGUCGCUGCAGUGUUCCC